rnacentral:rRNA from 1 species
UACGAAGGGUGCAAGCGUUACUCGGAAUUACUGGGCGUAAAGCGUGCGUAGGUGGUUCGUUAAGUCUGAUGUGAAAGCCCUGGGCUCAACCUGGGAAUGGCAUUGGAAACUGGCGACCUAGAGUGCGGUAGAGGGUAGUGGAAUUCCCGGUGUAGCAGUGAAAUGCGUAGAGAUCGGGAGGAACAUCUGUGGCGAAGGCGACUGCCUGGACCAGUACUGACACUGAGGCACGAAAGCGUGGGGAGCAAACAGG